AGGGCAAGUCUGGUGCCAGCAGCCGCGGUAAUUCCAGCUCCAAUAGCGUAUAUUAAAGUUGUUGCAGUUAAAAAGCUCGUAGUUGAAUUUCGGGAUCAAUCUAUCGGUCGUGCAAUAGUACGUACUGAUUUUAUUGAUUCCUCCCUUCUGAUGAACUAUGAUGUCAUUAAUUUGGUGUCAUAGGGAAUCAGGACUGUUACUUUGAGAAAAUUAGAGUGUUUAAAGCAGGCUCACGCUUGAAUACAUUAGCAUGGAAUAACGAAAUAGGACGUUUGAUUCUAUUUUGUUGGUUUCUAGGAUCGACGUAAUGAUUAAUAGGGAUAGUUGGGGGCAUUAGUAUUCAAUUGUCAGAGGUGAAAUUCUUGGAUUUAUUGAAGACUAACUACUGCGAAAGCAUUUGCCAAGGAUGUUUUCAUUAAUCAAGAACGAAAGUUAGGGGAUCGAAGACGAUCAGAUACCGUCGUAGUCUUAACCAUAAACUAUGCCGACUAGGGAUCGGAUGAUGUUAAUUUUUUAAUGACUCAUUCGGCGCCUUACGGGAA
rnacentral:rRNA from 1 species